AAGUCGUAACAAGGUUUCCGUAGGUGAACCUGCGGAAGGAUCAUUAACACGUAUCCAAACGUUAAACAACCCCGUGAACAUACAACCUGCUCUGGUCGCCACGCUCCAGCGACACUUUCAUUCACUGGUCACUUGUGUCACUUGACCUACCGCUUCUAUGAAUCGCUGUCAGUUUUUCUCACGCGCACAGAGGUCCCAAAUCAAAAACUUUCCGGGGCUUGAUUUACUGGGCUUGUCCAUGCGAGCGCAAGGACGACUCUUCAAGAUUGCUAGAGGUCGACCACCGACCGGCUUCCGUGUAUACCGAGCUAACACCGCUCCCUUCCGAACCCCACUUUAUUGCCUUGCCUGUAAGCAUCCAUACGGAUGGGCAGGCCCCCCGAACAACUGUUAACAAUGGAUAUCUUGGUUCUC
rnacentral:misc_RNA from 1 species